rnacentral:rRNA from 1 species
UACAGAGGGGGCAAGCGUUGUUCGGAAUUACUGGGCGUAAAGGGCGCGUAGGCGGCCCGCUAAGUCGAACGUGAAAUCCCCGGGCUCAACCCGGGAACUGCGUCCGAUACUGGUGGGCUUGAAUCCGGGAGAGGGAUGCGGAAUUCCAGGUGUAGCGGUGAAAUGCGUAGAUAUCAGGAGGAACACCGGUGGCGAAGGCGUCCCUCUGGCCGGAUACUGACGCUGAGACGCGAAAGCGUGGGGAGCAAACAGG